CCGGGGAGCCGGGCAGCCGCGUCUUUCGUCAGGCUCACGAUGAGCGAGGCGAAGGCCGAGGAAAGUCCGGGCUCCACGAAACAAGGGUGGCGGGUAACGCCCGCCGGGCGAGGGUGGUUUUCAGGCCUUCCGAAGCUCAGGGAAAGUGCCACAGAGAGUAUACCGCCGAUGGAGCGAACAGCUCACAGGCAAGGGUGAAAGGGUGCGGUAAGAGCGCACCGCGCUUCCGGUAACGGCGAGCGGCAUGGCAAACCCCACCCGGAGCAAGACCGAAUAGGGGCUGCUGGCUAUCUUCGGAUGGCGGGUCGGUUUCGGACCCAGGCAGCCCGGGUUGGUCGCUGGAGCGGCGCGGCAACGCGUCGCCGAGAGGAAUGGCUGCCGCCGCGGCGUAAGGUCCCUUUCGAGGGAGACCACGCCAGGCACAGAACCCGGCUUACAGGCUCCCCGGCAUU
rnacentral:RNase_P_RNA from 1 species